rnacentral:rRNA from 1 species
CCAGACUCCUACGGGAGGCAGCAGUGGGGAAUAUUGCACAAUGGGGGAAACCCUGAUGCAGCGACGCCGCGUGAGUGAAGAAGUAUCUCGGUAUGUAAAGCUCUAUCAGCAGGGAAGAAAAUGACGGUACCUGACUAAGAAGCCCCGGCUAACUACGUGCCAGCAGCCGCGGUAAUACGUAGGGGGCAAGCGUUAUCCGGAUUUACUGGGUGUAAAGGGAGCGCAGGCGGCACGGCAAGCCUGAUGUGAAAGCCGGGGGCCCAACCGCGGAACUGCAUUGGGAACUGCCGGGCUGGAGUGCCGGAGAGGUAGGCGGAAUUCCUGGUGUAGCGGUGAAAUGCGUAGAUAUUAGGAGGAACACCAGUGGCGAAGGCGGCCUACUGGACGGUGACUGACGCUGAGGCUCGAAAGCGUGGGGAGCAAACAGGAUUAGAUCCC